AGCGGUAGCACAGAGAGCUUGCUCUCGGGUGACGAGCGGCGGACGGGUGAGUAAUGUCUGGGAAACUGCCUGAUGGAGGGGGAUAACUACUGGAAACGGUAGCUAAUACCGCAUAAUGUCGCAAGACCAAAGUGGGGGACCUUCGGGCCUCAUGCCAUCAGAUGUGCCCAGAUGGGAUUAGCUAGUAGGUGGGGUAACGGCUCACCUAGGCGACGAUCCCUAGCUGGUCUGAGAGGAUGACCAGCCACACUGGAACUGAGACACGGUCCAGACUCCUACGGGAGGCAGCAGUGGGGAAUAUUGCACAAUGGGCGCAAGCCUGAUGCAGCCAUGCCGCGUGUGUGAAGAAGGCCUUCGGGUUGUAAAGCACUUUCAGCGGGGAGGAAGGCGGUAAGGUUAAUAACCUCGUCGAUUGACGUUACCCGCAGAAGAAGCACCGGCUAACUCCGUGCCAGCAGCCGCGGUAAUACGGAGGGUGCAAGCGUUAAUCGGAAUUACUGGGCGU
rnacentral:rRNA from 1 species